rnacentral:rRNA from 1 species
UACGUAGGGUGCGAGCGUUGUCCGGAAUUACUGGGCGUAAAGAGCUCGUAGGUGGUUUGUCGCGUUGUUCGUGAAAUCUCACGGCUUAACUGUGAGCGUGCGGGCGAUACGGGCAGACUAGAGUACUGCAGGGGAGACUGGAAUUCCUGGUGUAGCGGUGGAAUGCGCAGAUAUCAGGAGGAACACCAAUUGCGAAGGCAGCUCGCUGGGACGUUACUGACGCUGAGGAGCGAAAGCGUGGGGAGCGAACAGG